GUGCCUCAAGUAUCACCGACGGGGGUAAAGCACUGUUAUGGCUAGGGGGUCAUCGCGACUUACCAAACCAUUGCAAACUCAGAAUACCGUCGAGUGCGAGCUUGGGAGACAGACAUCGGGUGCUAACGUCCGGUGUCGAGAGGGAAACAACCCAGACCGCCGAUUAAGGUCCCCAAGCCAUAGUUAAGUGGAAAACGAGGUGGGAAGGCUUAGACAGCCAGGAGGUUGGCUUAGAAGCAGCCAUCCUUUAAAGAAAGCGUAAUAGCUCACUGGUCGAGUCGUCCUGCGCGGAAGAUGUAACGGGGCUCAAACUAUGCACCGAAAUCGCGGAUAUCCGCAAGGAUAUGGUAGGAGAGCGUUCUGUAAGCCGUUGAAGGCGUCUUGUGAAGGAUGCUGGAGGUAUCAGAAGUGCGAAUGCUGACAUGAGUAGCGAUAAAGGGAGUGAAAAGCUCCCUCGCCGAAAGCCCAAGGUUUCCUGCGCAACGUUCAUCGGCGCAGGGUGAGUCGG
rnacentral:rRNA from 1 species